GGAAACUAAAAAUGAUAAAAUACAACAUUUGUUAAGCCGAACAUGCAUACCUUGUUCCAUAGAAACAGUUCCAUCUCAUGUGUGAACUGUUUUAGAGGACCUUUCUUCAGUUUAACAUACCAAAACAGAGUUAAUCACUAAUGAAGAUAAACUGUCUGAAAAACAUAGCUGGAUAGUUUAAACGAAAAAACCACAUUUAUGCGUAAGCAUUAUUAUAAAAGCAACUAAUGCGGCCAGAUACUGCAAACUUUGAACCAAGGUGGCGCUUGGCUACUUGGUAGAUGCUGAGGCCCGAGGUUUUUUAUUGAUGACACCACCCGAAGUUGUUUCUGAAGCUGGUUAUUUCUUCUUUUCACUAUCACCAACGAUCACCUUUGCUGGGAGAGAGCUGAUACCAGCCACGUCAUCUUUGGACCAUCAUUGCCACCCUCCUAAAACCAAGCGACAUGUAAGCUUUUGAAAAUAUCUAAAGGACAUAAUGAAACGUAGUUAUAAACUUUCAUCAGCAACAAAAUCAGGUAGUGGCGCACAUAAAUGAAGUGAUACCUCUUAUAAGCUUGAGAUUAAUGCCUGUUUUGUAGCCGUGAAGUUGUUUGUGAAACGAUACAGCCUGAUAGUCGAACACACUCACAGACAGAGACACCACCGUCGAGUCCAAAGAAGGAGCAAAUGGUUAAAGUGUUUACUCAAAAAGGCUGUUGCAUCAAUUAUCAAAGCUAUGAGGAAAUCUAGGAUAAAGAAACACAGACCUAGCGAGUGUGAUGGUUGCCAUGACACGGUUUUUGUCUCCUCGAGGGUCACUUACAAUACUCUUUAUAGCAGUAAGCUCAUCAAUGAUGUCUGGGAUAAGAUGAACAUCUUUAUAAAAAAACAUCCAAUAAGAGGAUUACCUGGAAGAUGGUGUUGGUGAUUGCGGAACCUGAAUCGUUCAUCAUAAAAGGUGAUCAUUUAUCUACAGAUUAUACUGAUAUUCAGCUCCAUACAUGACAAUCAAUCUUUUAUCUACUGGAUCUCACAAUUAUAUAGAGUUAAAGGUGAUAAUUUCAGGACAAACCUUAUCAUCAAGAAGGAGAUGUCCAUUCCAUCAGCUCUCCCCCCGUUCGGGUUUCCCAGAAUCGCAUAAGACGGAGUGCGCGACGACGGUAUCAGAACAACGGCCGGUGGUAGCAUCAGGAAAAAAAGUUUCGUAAGCCACCAUCAUGCAGGCUGCGUCGUAAGAAAUAGAUGAUUUUGUUUAAGCAGCGUGAUUUUGAAUUUUUGAUAUCUCAAACGACUUUUAUAGAUUUCUUUUUUGGGUUUUCAUUUGGACUUUUGAGAAGGAGGCAAUUGAAUCGAAUAAAUCGGAGUGCGAGUGACUGAAAGACCGAUUUAAUGGUGAGAAGUGAAGACAAACUCUCAUCUAUGGAAAGCGUUACCGAUAUGGAACUCAAGCGCCUGAGGAUCUGAGAGAUCGUGAACAGUUUACAGAAACGCAGGAGGAGAGUUGACGAUAUAAGCCCAUCAGAUCUCUAAAUAAAUGAAGUGUUGCGUUUUGUUAAAGAAAGACAUGUGUCAACAGCAUAGAAGUCGACUUUGUGACCUGGAUCUGAUGUGGCAUCACCAGG
rnacentral:lncRNA from 1 species